AUUGAACGCUGGCGGCAGGCCUAACACAUGCAAGUCGAGCGAGCGGCGGACGGGUGAGUAAUGUAUGGGGACUGCCCGAUAGAGGGGGAUAACUACUGGAAACGGUGGCUAAUACCGCAUACUAUCGGAUAACCCAUAUGGGAUUAGCUAGUAGGUGGGGUAAAGGCUCACCUAGGCGACGAUCUCUAGCUGGUCUGAGAGGAUGAUGUGGGACGCGUGGGAUGAGAAUCGGCCCAGACUCCUUCGGAGGGGCCAGGUGGGAAUAAUGCACAAUGGGCGAAAGCCUGAUGAAUCGAUGCCGGGUGUAUGAAGAAGGCCUUAGGGUUGUAAAGUACUUUCGGCGGGGAGGCGUUACCCUCAGAAGAAGCACCGGCUAACUCCGUGCCAGCAGCCGCGGUAAUAC
rnacentral:rRNA from 1 species